rnacentral:lncRNA from 1 species
CAGCUACGGGUUUCGGUGCUGCGCCGGUUAAGCCGGCACCAGAAACAACCUGCGAACCCACCUGACGUGCGUCUUCCAGCACAGGGAAACGGGAUGGAAGUCAGAAGGGUCGACCACAAGGAGCUCUUACUGUGCAUCAGUUCAUCCUGCAAGUCCGCCACAUUUAGCUUCCUAUGUUACUGUCCUUUGGGGAUUCUCAAGGCUUUUCACAAAACUGGCUUCCACCUUCCUCACACACAUCCUCAUCUGGAAGAAAACUGACCUCUUCACAGAAACCCCUGACACCUUACUGACCCAGGAUCAUUGUUCAGGUGGCCAAAAGAAAAAGUUCUGCAGGCCAGGCGCGGUGACUCACUCCUGUAAUCCCAGCACUUUGGGAGGCCGAGGCGGGCGGAUCACCUGAGGUCAGGAGUUCAAGACCAGCCUGCCCAACAUGGAGAAACCCUGUCUCUACUAAAAAUACAAAAAUCAGCCGGGUGUGCUGGUGGGCGCCUGUAAUUCCAGCUACUCCGGAGGCUGAGGCGCGAGAAUCACUUGAACCUUGGAGGGGGAGGUUGCAGUGAGCAGAGACUGAGCCACUGCACUCCAGCUUGGGUGAUAGAGUGAGACUCUGUCUCAAAAACAAAACAAAACAAACACUGCUUUGGGCUCAAAUCCCUGAUUCUCAGUGUAUGAACUUUGCAACUUUACCUCUCUGUGCCUGCUUCCUCACUUACCAGGGAAAGUUUCAGAACUGUUGCUCCUGGCAGACACUUCGUGGACACGCAUACUCACCAUGCCUCCUUCCUGCUGACAGCUGGGGACUUAAGUCACAACCUGCAGACUAGCACAGAGAAAUGUCUGACUCUUCAGUUGAGUUCAACAAAUGCUUAUUGAGCACCUCCUAAGUACCAGGCACUGUUGAUACAAAGAAAAAGUCUCACUCUGUCUCCCAGGCUGGAGUGCACAGACACAAUCUCGGCUGACUGCAGCCUCCACCUCCCAGGUUCAAGUGAUUCUUGUGCCUCAGCCUCCUGAGAUAUCUUUAAAGUUUUGUUGUUUCUUUCUUAAGAAAACUCUCCCUAUUCUAAUCUCCACUCAUAAUUCUCAAGAUGGUGUACAAAUAUUGCUAUAAAUAACUAUUCAUCAGGAAGUUCCAAGAAAGGUUCUG